rnacentral:rRNA from 1 species
GACGAACGCUGGCGGCGUGCUUAACACAUGCAAGUCGAACGGAAAGGCCCUGCUUUUGUGGGGUGCUCGAGUGGCGAACGGGUGAGUAACACGUGAGUAACCUGCCCUUGACUUUGGGAUAACUUCAGGAAACUGGGGCUAAUACCGGAUAGGAGCUCCUGCUGCAUGGUGGGGGUUGGAAAGUUUCGGCGGUUGGGGAUGGACUCGCGGCUUAUCAGCUUGUUGGUGGGGUAGUGGCUUACCAAGGCUUUGACGGGUAGCCGGCCUGAGAGGGUGACCGGCCACAUUGGGACUGAGAUACGGCCCAGACUCCUACGGGAGGCAGCAGUGGGGAAUAUUGCACGAUGGGCGGAAGCCUGAUGCAGCAACGCCGCGUGCGGGAUGACGGCCUUCGGGUUGUAAACCGCCUUCGCCUGUGACGAAGCGUGAGUGACGGUAAUGGGUAAAGAAGCACCGGCUAACUACGUG